rnacentral:rRNA from 1 species
UACAGAGGUCUCAAGCGUUGUUCGGAUUCAUUGGGCGUAAAGGGUGCGUAGGUGGCGCUGUAAGUCGGGUGUGAAAUUUCGGAGCUUAACUCCGAAACUGCAUUCGAUACUGCGGUGCUUGAGGACUGGAGAGGAGACUGGAAUUCAUGGUGUAGCAGUGAAAUGCGUAGAGAUCAUGAGGAAGACCAGUGGCGAAGGCGGGUCUCUGGGCCGAAACUGACGCUGAGGAGCGAAAGCGUGGGGAGCAAACAGG